UACCCUUGACAUGCCCGGAACUUGGCAGAGAUGCCUUGGUGCCCGAAAGGGAACCGGGACACAGGUGCUGCAUGGCUGUCGUCAGCUCGUGUCGUGAGAUGUUGGGUUAAGUCCCGCAACGAGCGCAACCCUUGUCAUUAGUUGCCACAUUCAGUUGGGCACUCUAAUGAGACUGCCGGUGACAAACCGGAGGAAGGUGGGGAUGACGUUACGGUCUUACU
rnacentral:misc_RNA from 1 species